rnacentral:rRNA from 1 species
GAUGAACGCUGGCGGCGUGCCUAAUACAUGCAAGUCGAGCGAACAGACGAGGAGCUUGCUCCUCUGACGUUAGCGGCGGCCGGGUGAGUAACACGUGGAUAACCUACCUAUAAGACUGGGAUAACUUCGGGAAACCGGCGCUAAUACCGGAUAAUAUAUUGAACCGCAUGGUUAAAUAGUGAAAGACGGUUUUGCUGUCACUUAUAGAUGGAUCCGCGCCGCUUUAGCUAGUUGGUAAGGUAACGGCUUACCAAGGCAACGAUGCGUAGCCGACCUGAGAGGGGGAUCGGCCACACUGGAACUGAGACACGGUCCAGACUCCUACGGGAGGCAGCAGUAGGGAAUCGUCCGCAAUGGGCGAAAGCCUGACGGAGCAACGCCGCGUGAGUGAUGAAGGUCUUCGGAUCGUAAAACUCUGUUAUUAGGGAAGAACAAAUGUGUAAGUAACUAUGCACGUCUUGACGGUACCUAAUCAGAAAGCCAGGGCUAACUACGUG